ACAACGGAGAGUUUGAUCCUGGCUCAGGACGAACGCUGGCGGCGUGCCUCACACAUGCAAGUCGAGCGGACGAAGUUGGUAGCUUGCUACCAGCCUAGUUAGCGGCGGACGGGUGAGUAACACGUAGGAAUCUACCUUUAGGAGGGGGACAACGAGCCGAAAGGAGCGCUAAUACCCCAUAUGCGGUAACGUGAAAGGAGCAAUCCGCCUGAAGAUGAGCCUGCGUCCGAUUAGC
rnacentral:rRNA from 1 species